rnacentral:lncRNA from 1 species
AUGAGAAACACCUGUGUAGGAGGGCGUGGCUCCAAACAGAGCAGGGAGGCUUUUCCUUCAUUCAGGGAGAAACCAGCGAGGAGGAGUGCGAACGCUGAGAGUCCAACGUGUGGGGCUGGACGCUUGGGCACAGCCGGUGGAGCGCGAGGACUGGGGAGAGCUGGAGACGCACCCCAAACCGACGUUCGGGAGACGCAGAGCGGGUCCGAUUCGAGGCGUUGGCCAGCCGAACACCGGCGGGAGGAAGACGUGAGGAGGGAGGCGCCUCAUCCACAGCCGUGUUCUUUCGUACACCGCCGCUUGGAGACGCAGAGGGGUGAACGGGCUUCACCCCUCCCAAAGGCUUACUGGCAGCACGGAGCGCAGGACUGUAGACUGACCGGAGAGACUGAGGCUGGGACGGACAGAAAAGUGGACCAUUUCAUGGACAAUAGUCUCCACCAGUUUUAUUUUUGUAUUGUGUUUUUACCUUUUUAAUGUUCAUUUUUUUAACAAAUGGUUUUAUGUUAUUUUUAGACUAUUGUAUUAAAACAUCUUUUAAGAGUCAAGGCUGCUGCUGUUUUUGAAGUGACUGGUAAACUCCCCAGUGGGUCCCAAAAAAAAUAGUAAUUUCAGGGCUUUACCCUCGCCCAUCUGACACCUGCUCCUGGGUGCCCACAGCUAAAUAUAACAGCAUCAUCUAAUUGUGUCCCAUUUCUAGCCUCCAGUCUUUAAUUCUGCUGUGCUGAAUCAGUCCCUCUGUCCUUCCCAGAAGCAGGCAAUCUUACUAAUUAGCAUUUAAAACAUGAAGUUUGGCUUCCAUGUUCCUUGAGUGAAACUGAUGGGAAGUCUGGAUGCGUUUAAAGAAAAGACGCCGGCAGUGAAAGCUGGAAGGGCUCUCGUAGCUUCCAGCAUCGCUAAAUACUUGGUUUGUGUGUAGAUUACAAUGCUACUAAUGUAUGGAUGCAAAACCGUUGACAGUCAUUUGAACAUUUACUAAAGGACUGAAUUGUGGUAACCCUCAAUUGCAGGUUUCUAACUGCCACCUCUUCAAAUUGAAAUGAACUUCAGGAGCGCCUUUUUAUAGCUGCUCUGCAAUGAACUGUGUAUUUCUGUCGUCUGUCUGAUCGUGUUUGGGUUUUACUGAAACCAGUUUCAGGAUUGGGUGAAUGUGAAUGUCUCCUCUGUGAGGUUAAUAAAAAUCUAUUCUGUUCCCUUCUCUUCUAUUUACCUUACAGGGGAGAAAUUAACUGUCAUGGUAGCUUAAAAACAAAACACAAAUUUCAAUGUUGGGUGAAUUUCUUGCCUGCGAGAUUAAU